UACGUAGGGGGCGAGCGUUGUCCGGAAUUAUUGGGCGUAAAGAGCGUGUAGGCGGCUCGGUAAGUCCGCCGUGAAAACCCGGGGCUCAACCCCGGGCGUUGCGGUGGAUACUGUCGGGCUAGAGGAUGGUAGAGGCGAGUGGAAUUCCCGGUGUAGCGGUGAAAUGCGCAGAUAUCGAGAGGAACACCUGUGGCGAAGGCGGGUAGCUGGGCCGACACUGACGCUGAGGCGCGAAAGCUA
rnacentral:rRNA from 1 species